rnacentral:rRNA from 1 species
GCUUGCAGCCAUACCACCCUGAGCACGCCUGCUCUUGUCUGAUCUAAGAAGCUAAGCGUGGUUGGGUCUGGUUAGUCCUUGGAUGAGAAACUGCUUGAGAAUAUGAGGUGCUAUAAGCU